UACGAAGGGGCUAGCGUUGCUCGGAAUCACUGGGCGUAAAGGCGCGUAGGCGGCCGAUCAAGUCAGAGGUGAAAGCCCAGGGCUCAACCCUGGAAUUGCCUUUGAUACUGUUCGGCUAGAGACCGGAAGAGGUAAGUGGAACUGCGAGUGUAGAGGUGAAAUUCGUAGAUAUUCGCAAGAACACCAGUGGCGAAGGCGGCUUACUGGUCCGGUUCUGACGCUGAGGUGCGAAAGCGUGGGGAGCAAACAG
rnacentral:rRNA from 1 species